AGAAGAUGGAGAAACUUCUGGGGAGGCCCAGAGCCCUAAGUGCCUGCCCUAGAGGCCGCAGUUUCCUGUGGAGUACUCCCUACGCCACUGGUGGGGCAACACAACUAUUUAUGUGCUGGAAGAAAUGAUUGCAUCAUUGAUAAGAUUCGACGAAAGAAUUGUCCUGCUUGCAGACUUCAGAAAUGUCUUCAAGCUGGAAUGAAUUUAGGAGCACGAAAGUCAAAGAAGUUGGGAAAGUUAAAAGGGAUUCACGAGGAGCAGCCACAGCAGCAGCAGCCCCCACCCCCACCCCCACCCCCGCAAAGCCCAGAGGAAGGGACAACGUACAUCGCUCCUGCAAAAGAACCCUCGGUCAACACAGCACUGGUUCCUCAGCUCUCCACAAUCUCACGAGCACUCACACCUUCCCCCGUUAUGGUCCUUGAAAACAUUGAACCCGAAAUUGUAUAUGCAGGCUAUGACAGCUCAAAACCAGAUACAGCCGAAAAUCUGCUCUCCACGCUCAACCGCUUAGCAGGCAAACAGAUGAUCCAAGUCGUGAAGUGGGCAAAGGUACUUCCAGGAUUUAAAAACUUGCCUCUUGAGGACCAAAUUACCCUAAUCCAGUAUUCUUGGAUGUGUCUAUCAUCAUUUGCCUUGAGCUGGAGAUCGUACAAACAUACGAACAGCCAAUUUCUCUAUUUUGCACCAGACCUAGUCUUUAAUGAACUGUUGGCGAGAGUGAGAGAGGGUUGAAGUCUUAGUGGCACUUCACAUGCCUCUGUGGAUUCUCUGAGUGUCUGUCUGGGAGGAAGGUGACUUCCACCCACACCAUCCUGCGUCUGAAGCACUAGUUGUGUGAGGGCAGCUCCAUUAGACGAGUACACAACUCAGUUGC
rnacentral:sRNA from 1 species